rnacentral:misc_RNA from 1 species
GUAUUAAAUUUUGACCAGUAAAGGUCUUUAUUAGACAUUCUAAUAGACUUAUGUGUGUGUAAAAAUAACAUAGACACAGACUGUAACAUCUGGCCUACAAUGAGUUCACAGGUGAGAUGAAAAGGCGGAGUGCACAUGCCCCAAAAGGCCAGCAACAUCCUAAGGAUUUCAAUAAUGAUCCUUCCGCAGGUUCACCUACGGAAA